CUCGUGCGCCACACGUGGUCGAACUUGGGCCAACGCACGCUAUUGGACUGCCAUUUUAAAGAAGGCUGGAGCGACGAUAGGUGUGAGGCGACUCCACGGCACUUUGGUCACCUUCACCAGCCCAGAGUCCCACCUGGAUAAAAAGGCAGACCGAAACUGGUCCCGCUGUUACCGUCAUGCUGACAUAUAUUCGAUAACAAAGAAAGAUGUAUGCUAAGAAGCAGAUUGAAUGAAGAAUCAAAUCUUUUAAAUUAAUUAAUUUAAUUUAAUAGUGUCACACAAAUUUUAAUAACUAAUAAAUUUCUUUGAGUCUUAAACAAUAAUAAUAAUUAUACGCAUUAAAAGUCACUAUAGAUCAUUUCUCUUUUGUAUUAUCAUAUUUAUGACAUUAAUUUUAUUUACAUCGUAAUCAAUACGCAGAAUGUUCCAAAUCUGACACACUGCUUGUUAAUAGCAUACUCUUGAGAUCAUUUGGAGACGAAGAUUCUAAUCCCAAAAUAUCGAGGUUGUAAUAGUUUUCAAAUAAAAAAUAUUUAAAGUUUACUUAGAAAUUAGAUUAUCUAAAAUUUGCGCGUUCAGACAUGAUGCAUUGUGCAACAAUAAAAAUGUCUUUAGACUUCCAAAAUUUAUUGAUUGAUAUUGAUUUUAAUAUUCUUUUCCGUAUAAAGAACUUUAUUCAUCCGAUGAUACAUUUGCUACUGCAUCAUACAGAAAUUGUAUUAAAAUAAUAAUAAUAUUAAAAAUAAUGAUUAAAUGGAGGCUAAUUGCUUUUGAAUCGAUAAUAUUAAAAAUUGAUUGCAUUGUACAAUUUCUUUAUAUGUGUAUGAUGCAGUAGCAAAUGUAAAAUAAUAAUAGCAAAUGUAAAUAAUAAUAGCAUUUUUGUUCCGAAAUAAUAAAAGAAGUGUGCUAUUAACAAGUGAUACAUUAGAUUUGAGACAUCGUUUAUAUGCAAUAAUAAAAUUAUUAUACAUACACAUAUAAUAUAUACAUAAUACAUUUUUAAUUAAAUAAAAGAUUAAAUAGUAAUUAUUUAUUAUUUUUAACAUGAGAAUAGAGAAUAAAAUUGAUUGAAGUUUACAAUUACAAUCGAAAAUACAUUUUUCGAUUACAAAGCAUGUUGCAUUGACUAACGGCAUUAUUAAAAUAUGAAAAAAUCUGCUUCUUCUAUACAAGUAGCACAAUACAUAAUAUUAAUAAUCAUUAUCAGCAUUGCUCGGCAACAAUGGGAGACGCGCUAUAUUACCGAUACUUCGAUCCGACCGACUAUCGAAGAGAUAUAGAAAGAAAAAAAA